UUGUACACAUUAAUUUAAAAACUAUCCCUCUUUUCUGUGUUUUCUUUUUUUUUUCCCAAAGCAAUGUUUAUUUCUCACAGCAUUACCAUAAGAAUUUCUAAGGCAGAAAAAUGGGGAAUAAUGUAUUUUUUCUUUAUCUUUCAUAAAUAAUUUGGCAGAAAUUGGGCAGAAACUACUAUCCUAAAAAAGGAAUGGGGAAAGGAUUUACAUAAACACGUUUAUAUCAUAGAACUUUGGGAGGGGGUUAAUUUUUAACUUAAAGGUCAUCAAGUACCCAGCUCUCUCAUACUACCCCUUUGUAAUAAAAGUUCCCUUUGAAGUAUUGAGAAUAUUGCUCCCUGAACUUAGAAUCUGUUCCAUUCUUGAAAAGCUAAAUAGAAUUCUUGAGUCAAAGCAGGGUAUAAAUCUUCUCAAUUGCCCUGCUUGUUAUGUUAGCAAUACAAUGUGAGUUAUUUUGCAAUGGAAUGGCCAGCUUAGAUAGUUACCAUUUAGUGGUGUGCUUCUUAGGGUGUUCUCUUACUGUCCUUUCUGGGCUAUAUGUAGAGAUGACUCUUUCAAGGUUAUUUAAGAAAGUCCAUUUCUUUUCCUUCUAAUUCCCAGGUAACUCACUUUCCCAAUCAAGUAAAACUUCCAGCCUCAUCUGCCAGCGGCUAAUGGACUACAUGCCUCCUCCUCUCUUGGAAGAGCUUCAUAACUCCAGUCCUGGAGUUGUUGCUCUGCCAAAACAAUCUGCAGAAAUAAUCUGAAUGAGCUAAAUCCAAAUUGAAAGUUCUUUGGAGCAGGAGACAGCUUCUUGCUCAGGAUGUACUUGUAUGUUUAAAUGGGCAGCAACGAUAUAUACAGCCUUUCCACUGUUGAAGGUGAACCUUGAACUCAGAGUCACUUCAAUGCCAAGAGGAAUCAGAAAUACAGCAUUGGACAGAACCUCAGUCUGUCUGAACAGUCCGCUUCCUUGCUCGCGGGCGCUGUCCUCAUUGGCGACCUUCUCACCAGCGCUAACUCCCAUUGGUCUGUCCUCUUGUUUGUUCCACUCUGGCGCGCAGAGGCAGGUGGAAAGUGGUGCCCAGUCGCACCGCCCCGUGCCCGUGCACAAAUCUGUUGAGCUACCCGCUUCCACGCGCUAUCUCUGUGUUUUCUUAUGGACUCUUUUUUGUUUCGUUUCGGGUAGAGUGCCAGUUUCUUCCCUUGAAUGGACUCUGUAA
rnacentral:lncRNA from 1 species